rnacentral:piRNA from 1 species
UGUUAUUGCAUUGAAGAUGGCUGGA